AUAUUGGUCAAUGGAGGCAACUCUGAACCAACCAUGCCGCGUGCAGGAAGACAGCCCUCUGGGUCGUAAACUGCUUUUAUUCGGGAAUAAACCUAUUUACGUGUAAAUAGCUGAAUGUACCGAAGGAAUAAGGAUCGGCUAACUCCGUGCCAGCAGCCGCGGUAAUACGGAGGAUCCAAGCGUUAUCCGGAUUUAUUGGGUUUAAAGGGUGCGUAGGCGGCUUAUUAAGUCAGGGGUGAAAGACGGUGGCUCAACCAUCGCAGUGCCCUUGAUACUGAUGAGCUUGAAUACACUAGAGGUAGGCGGAAUGUGACAAGUAGCGGUGAAAUGCAUAGAUAUGUCACAGAACACCGAUUGCGAAGGCAGCUUACUAUGGUGUCAUUGACGCUGAGGCACGAAAGCGUGGGGAUCAAACAGG
rnacentral:rRNA from 1 species